AUCCAGCUGACGAGUCUCAAAUGAGACAAAAUAUACAUCCUGGAU
rfam:Schistosoma curassoni strain Dakar, Senegal genome assembly, scaffold: SCTD_scaffold0000228